rnacentral:rRNA from 1 species
AACGAACGCUGGCGGCAGGCUUAACACAUGCAAGUCGAACGCCCCGCCAGGGGAGUGGCAGACGGGUGAGUAACGCGUGGGAACAUACCCUUUCCUGCGGAAUAGCUCCGGGAAACUGGAAUUAAUACCGCAUACGCCCUACGGGGGCAAGAUUUAUCGGGGAAGGAUUGGACCGCGUUGGAUUAGCUAGUUGGUGGGGUAAAGGCCUACCAAGGCGACGAUCCAUAGCUGGUCUGAGAGGAUGAUCAGCCACAUUGGGACUGAGACACGGCCCAAACUCCUACGGGAGGCAGCAGUGGGGAAUAGUGGACAAGGGGCGCAAGCCUGAUCCAGCCAUGCCGCGUGAGUGAUGAAGGCCUUAGGGUUGUAAAGCUCUUUCACCGAUGAAGAUAAUGACGGUAGUCGGAGAAGAAGCCCCGGCUAACUUCGUG